rnacentral:rRNA from 1 species
UACGCUAGCGGCAGGCUACACAUGCAGUCGAGGGGCAGCGGGAGUGUUGCACUCGCCGGCGACGGCGCACGGGUGCGGAACGCGGAUGGAAUCUACCUCUUUCUGGGGAAUAGCCCAUGGAAACGUGAAUUAAUACCCCAUAGUAUUCAGAGAUCGCAUGAUCUCUGUCUUAAAGCUUUGGCGGAAAGAGAUGACCAUGCGUAUCAUUAGCUAGUAGGCGAGGUAACGGCUCACCUAGGCAACGAUGAUUAGGGGUCCUGAGAGGGAGAUCCCCCACACUGGUACUGAGACGCGGACCAGACUCCUACGGGAGGCAGCAGUGAGGAAUAUUGGACAAUGGUCGAAAGACUGAUCCAGCCAUGCCGCGUGCAGGAUGAAUGCCCUAUGGGUUGUAAACUGCUUUUAUACGGGAAGAACACCACCCACGUGUGGGUGACUGACGGUACCGUAAGAAUAAGGACCGGCUAACUCCGUGCCAGCAGCCGCGGUAAUACGGAGGGUCCAAGCGUUAUCCGGAAUCAUUGGGUUUAAAGGGUCCGUAGGCGGGCAAUUAAGUCAGAGGUGACAGUCUGCGGCUCCACCGUAGAACCUGCUUUGAAACUGGUCGGUCUGAAUCGCGGUGAAGUAGUCACACAUGUGUGGUGUACCGGUGACUGCCUUGAUUCCCCCAGAAUACCGGUGCGAAAGGCGAUUACAACAAU